rnacentral:rRNA from 1 species
UGAGGAAUAUUGGACAAUGGCCGGAAGGUUGAUCCAGCCAUGCCGCGUGCGGGAUGACGGCCCUAUGGGUUGUAAACCGCUUUUGUACGGGAAGAAACCUGUCCACGUGUGGGCAGCUGACGGUACCGUAAGAAUAAGGACCGGCUAACUCCGUGCCAGCAGCCGCGGUAAUACGGAGGGUCCGAGCGUUAUCCGGAAUCAUUGGGUUUAAAGGGUCCGCAGGCGGGCCGAUAAGUCAGGGGUGAAAGGCCACGGCUCAACCGUGGGACUGCCCUUGAUACUGUCGGUCUUGAGUCAUGGUGAGGUUGCCGGAACAUGUGGUGUAGCGGUGAAAUGCAUAGAUAUCACAUAGAACACCGAUCGCGAAGGCAGGUGGCCAACCAUGUACUGACGCUGAUGGACGAAAGCGUGGGGAGCGAACGGGAUUAGAUACCCCCGUAGUCC